rnacentral:sRNA from 1 species
AUUGUGACAUGUUAAACAAAAACGCCGCAGGUGUACGCUGCCGGCGUUUUUGAUGGGG